AUUGAACGCUGGCGGCAUGCCUAACACAUGCAAGUCGAACGGCAGCACAGUAUGUAGCAAUACAUAUGGGUGGCGAGUGGCGGACGGGUGCGUAAUAUGUAGGGAUCUGCCCUGAAGCGGGGGACAACCCGGGGAAACCCGGGCUAAUACCGCAUAAUACUCUACGGAGGAAGUCUGGCACGCAAGUGCUGGGGCUUUAGGAUGAACCUACAUCCGAUUAGCUCGUUGGUGAGGUAAUAGCUCACCAAGGCAAUGAUCGGUAGCUGGUCUGAGAGGAAGACCAGCCACACUGGGACUGAGACACGGCCCAGACUCCUACGGGAGGCAGCAGUGGGGAAUAUUGGACAAUGGGGGAAACCCUGAUCCAGCAAUGCCGCGUGGGUGAAGAAGGCCUUCGGGUUGUAAAGCCCUUUAGGCGGGGAAGAAGGUUAUAGGGUGAUAAGCCUUAUAGCUUGACGGUACCCGCAGAAUAAGCACCGGCUAACUCUGUGCCAGCCGCCGCUGUAA
rnacentral:rRNA from 1 species